GUGGGGUCAUGUAUGGAGGCAAUGUUGGUCUAGGAUACUUGAACGCCAUCUCAAGCGGAUCUCGCACCAGAAGCAAGUUUAUCAUGUUGAACAGAGGAAGUGACAAACCUACCAGUGUUCCGCCAAUAAUAAUUGCAGCGUGCUUGUUACGUCUAGUAGCCCAGUACGUAAGGUCUAAUAACAUUGCAGAGGGUAUCCAUACGGGCACCGCGAUGAAAUCAUACGGGUAUCCUAAUGCAAACCAUGCGCCUUUGGCAACCCACGUAUAGAUUGUCAUGAUGGUUGCAUAGUAGGUGGCAGUUCCUGGAACUCCUGUGAAGAGCAUGUAGUAAAUCGCCCCAACAACAAGCAUGGUAGAUUGUGAGAUGGAAAAUACUACAAAUGAUGUCCAGGCCCAGUC
rnacentral:misc_RNA from 1 species